rnacentral:rRNA from 1 species
GAUGAACGCUGGCGGCGUGCCUAAUACAUGCAAGUCGAGCGAACGGACGAGAAGCUUGCUUCUCUGAUGUUAGCGGCGGACGGGUGAGUAACACGUGGAUAACCUACCUAUAAGACUGGGAUAACUUCGGGAAACCGGAGCUAAUACCGGAUAAUAUUUUGAACCGCAUGGUUCAAAAGUGAAAGACGGUCUUGCUGUCACUUAUAGAUGGAUCCGCGCUGCAUUAGCUAGUUGUUAAGGUAACGGCUUACCAAGGCAACGAUGCGUAGCCGACCUGAGAGGGUGAUAGGCCACACUGGAACUGAGACACGGUCCAGACUCCUACGGGAGGCAGCAGUAGGGAAUCUUCCGCAAUGGGCGAAAGCCUGACGGAGCAACGCCGCGUGAGUGAUGAAGGUCUUCGGAUCGUAAAACUCUGUUAUUAGGGAAGAACAUAUGUGUAAGUAACUGUGCACAUCUUGACGGUACCUAAUCAGAAAGCCACGGCUAACUACGUG